rnacentral:rRNA from 1 species
AGUGAACGCUGGCGGUAGGCCUAACACAUGCAAGUCGAACGGCAGCACAGUAAGAGCUUGCUCUUACGGGUGGCGAGUGGCGGACGGGUGAGGAAUACAUCGGAAUCUACUUUUUCGUGGGGGAUAACGUAGGGAAACUUACGCUAAUACCGCAUACGACCUACGGGUGAAAGCAGGGGCUCUUCGGACCUUGCGCGAUUGAAUGAGCCGAUGUCGGAUUAGCUAGUUGGCGGGGUAAAGGCCCACCAAGGCGACGAUCCGUAGCUGGUCUGAGAGGAUGAUCAGCCACACUGGAACUGAGACACGGUCCAGACUCCUACGGGAGGCAGCAGUGGGGAAUAUUGGACGAUGGGCGCAAGCCUGAUCCAGCUAUACCGCGUGGGUGAAGAAGGCCUUCGGGUUGUAAAGCCCUGUUGUUGGGAAAGAAAAGCAGAAGGUUAAUACCCCGAUGUUCUGACGGUACCCAAAGAAUAAGCACCGGCUAACUUCGUG